rnacentral:sRNA from 1 species
GUUUAGCCCCGAUUGAAGUGGCAUCCUUUUUUUGUUUUUCUCAAAAAAAGAUAUAACGGAAAGCAGGAAUGGCU